GCCUGAUGCAGCGACGCCGCGUGAGGGAUGACGGCCUUCGGGUUGUAAACCUCUUUCAGCAGGGAAGAAGCGAAAGUGACGGUACCUGCAGAAGAAGCGCCGGCUAACUACGUGCCAGCAGCCGCGGUAAUACGUAGGGCGCGAGCGUUGUCCGGAAUUAUUGGGCGUAAAGAGCUCGUAGGCGGCUUGUCACGUCGGUUGUGAAAGCCCGGGGCUUAACCCCGGGUCUGCAGUCGAUACGGGCAGGCUAGAGUUCGGUAGGGGAGAUCGGAAUUCCUGGUGUAGCGGUGAAAUGCGCAGAUAUCAGGAGGAACACCGGUGGCGAAGGCGGAUCUCUGGGCCGAUACUGACGCUGAGGAGCGAAAGCGUGGGGAGCGAACAGGAUUAGAUACCCUGGUAGUCCACGCCGUAAACGGUGGGAACUAGGUGUUGGCGACAUUCCACGUCGUCGGUGCCGCAGCUAACGCAUUAAGUUCCCCGCCUGGGGAGUACGGCCGCAAGGCUAAAACUCAAA
rnacentral:rRNA from 1 species